rnacentral:rRNA from 1 species
AAUGAACGCUGGCGGCGCGCCUAAUACAUGCAAGUCGAGCGAGAAGACGUAGCAAUACGUUUGUAAAGCGGCGAACGGGUGAGGAAUACAUGGGUAACCUACCCUCGAGUGGGGAAUAACUAGCCGAAAGGUUAGCUAAUACCGCGUACGCUCCUUGGACUUCGGUUCAGGGAGGAAAGCGAUACCGUGGGUAUCGCGCUCUUGGUUGGGCUCAUGUCCUAUCAGCUUGUUGGUGAGGAACGGCUCACCAAGGCUUCGACGGGUAGCUGGUCUGAGAGGACGAUCAGCCACACUGGCACUGCGACACGGGCCAGACUCCUACGGGAGGCAGCAGUAAGGAAUAUUGCGCAAUGGGCGAAAGCCUGACGCAGCGACGCCGCGGUGGGGAUGAAGGUCUUCGGAUUCGUAAACCCCUUUCGGGAGGGAAGAUGGAACGAGCAAUCGUUCGGACGGUACCUCCAGAAGCAGCC